rnacentral:rRNA from 1 species
CCUACGGGUGGCAGCAGUAGGGAAUCUUCCGCAAUGGACGCAAGCCUGAUGGAGCAACACCGCGUGAGUGAAGAAGGGUUUCGGCUCGUAAAGCUCUGUUGUUGGAGAAGAACGUGCGUGAGAGUAACUGUUAACGCCGUGACGGUACCCAACCAGAAAGUCACGGCUAACUACGUGCCAGCAGCCGCGGUAAUACGUAGGUGGCAAGCGUUGUCCGGAUUUAUUGGGCGUAAAGCGAGCGCAGGCGGUUCCUUAGGUCUGAUGUGAAAGCCUUCGGCUUAACCGAGGAAGUGCAUUGGAAACUGGGGGACUUGAGUGCAGAAGAGGACAGUGGAAUUCCAUGUGUAGCGGUGGAAUGCGUAGAUAUAUGGAAGAAAACCAGUGGCGAAGGCGGAUGUCUGGUCUGUAACUGACGCUGAGGCUCGAAAGCAUGGGUAGCGAACAGGAUUAGAUACCCGAGUAGUC